AUUCUGCAAGUUUAUUAGUUCAACUAGUUAUUCUGACAUACAAUAUUUUACCAUGAUAAUAACAGUAACAACUGUUAAAAUAAAUACAAAUGUUGGUGAAGUGAAGGUAAUUUUUGUGUUUUUAUGAAAGUACAUUCUAUUUUGGUUAAUUAAUAAUAGCAGUGUAAAAAUAUAUUAUGUUUAUUAAUUUGCAUUUAACUUUAAUAAAACAGGUAUUGAUCAUUACGUUUUACAGGACUUUGUGAAAAUAUUGUUUUGUACAAUGUAUUUAUCUGUCAUAACAUCAAAUAUUAAUACAUCUAUCAUAUGUAUAAAUUAUCAAUUGAUCAUUUAUCAGUAAUGUUAACAUGACACUGUUAUAUUACUGAAAAAAAACUGUCAUGACAACUUUAUUUAGCAGUUUAUAUUGUUUAUAUAGCGGAGUUGAUGUGUUACUGUAGUAAUGUCUCUGAUAUCAGGCACAUAAUCAUAUCUACAUUAAGAGCAGCUGUAUGCAAAUAUUCUUCCCUCUAAUACAUAUUUAAGCAGAUGGAGGCGAAGACCAGCACCUUUCCCUCAUUCAGCUUCAACCCCACACCAUGUUCUCUACAUCUCUGCUGCUGCUGCUGACCACUGUGACCUGUGUUCACUGUGUUGAGCUGACCCAGCCUGGAUCCAUGGUCAAAAAUCCUGGUCAGUCGAUGUCACUGACCUGUAAAGUUUCUGGAUAUUCGCUGACUGAUAGCAGCUACUGUACAGCCUGGAUACGGCAGCCUGCAGGAAAAACUCUGGAGUGGAUUGAAAGGAUUUGUAGUGGUGGUAGCCCUGACUACAGUGAUAAACUGAAAAGCAGGUUUGAAAUCACUAGAGACACGUCCAGCAGCACAGUGACCUUAAGAGGACAGAAUCUGCAGACUGGAGACACAGCUGUGUAUUACUGCGCUCGAUAUCCACAGUGAAACAC